UACGUAGGGUGCGAGCGUUUGUCCGGAAUUAUUGGGCGUAAAGAGCUCGUAGGCGGCCUGUCGCGUCGGAGUGUGAAAGCCCCGGGGCUUAACCCCGGGUCUGCAUUCGAUACGGGCAGGCUAGAGUGUGGUAGGGGAGAUCGGAAUUCCUGGUGUAGCGGUGAAAUGCGCAGAUAUCAGGAGGAACACCGGUGGCGAAGGCGGGUCUCUGGGCCGAUACUGACGCUGAGGAGCGAAAGCGUGGGGAGCGAACAGG
rnacentral:rRNA from 1 species